GCCCCUAUCGCAUAAUGGUAUUGCACCGGUCUUGAGAACCGGGCCCUAUGGGCCUCCAGGUUCGAUUCCUGGUGGGGGCG
rfam:Candidatus Pacearchaeota archaeon RBG_16_35_8 RBG_16_scaffold_4006, whole genome shotgun sequence.